UGCAAGUCGAGCGGUAGAGAGGUGCUUGCACCUCUUGAGAGCGGCGGACGGGUGAGUAAUGCCUAGGAAUCUGCCUGGUAGUGGGGGAUAACGUUCGGAAACGAACGCUAAUACCGCAUACGUCCUACGGGAGAAAGCAGGGGACCUUCGGGCCUUGCGCUAUCAGAUGAGCCUAGGUCGGAUUAGCUAGUUGGUGAGGUAAUGGCUCACCAAGGCGACGAUCCGUAACUGGUCUGAGAGGAUGAUCAGUCACACUGGAACUGAGACACGGUCCAGACUCCUACGGGAGGCAGCAGUGGGGAAUAUUGGACAAUGGGCGAAAGCCUGAUCCAGCCAUGCCGCGUGUGUGAAGAAGGUCUUCGGAUUGUAAAGCACUUUAAGUUGGGAGGAAGGGUUGUAGAUUAAUACUCUGCAAUUUUGACGUUACCGACAGAAUAAGCACCGGCUAACUCUGUGCCAGCAGCCGCGGUAAUACAGAGGGUGCAAGCGUUAAUCGGAAUUACUGGGCGUAAAGCGCGCGUAGGUGGUUCGUUAAGUUGGAUGUGAAAGCCCCGGGCUCAACCUGGGAACUGCAUUCAAAACUGUCGAGCUAGAGUAUGGUAGAGGGUGGUGGAAUUUCCUGUG
rnacentral:rRNA from 1 species